AAGGGCUUAUGACCAGACCUUUGCCUUGAGGAUCAUCCGGUGUUCUCACCGGUGCACUUCUCUUGGUUCAGGCCAGCAUCGAUUUUGGUAGGGGGAUAAAGACUUGAGGAAUGUGGCUCUUCGGAGUGUUAUAGCCUCUUGUGUAAUACCCUUACCGGGAUCGAGGACCGCGCUUCGGCUAGGAUGCUGGCAUAAUGGUCAUCAGC
rnacentral:rRNA from 1 species